CUCAAACCUCGUUCGCGCCAUUCCUCGCAGCGCCUGUUCUCUCUCGCUCCAGUUCCGCUCCCAACGCCUCCUCUUCAUCUUCGUCGGAGUUGAACAUCACAUUCGCGCCCCCAAACUCGAAGCCCAAAUUCGAAGUUGAAGAUCCUUUUCAGUUCAUUGAUCGAAACACCGGCGGUCAGCUCAUCAUUCUUUGGAUAGUUCGCGGCGGAGAUGGCACUCUCAAGCAUCAAUAGCAUUCGCCUACACGAUUUCUUCAAUCCAUGUCGGAGGAUGAAACCAAGCCCGAGAAGAAGAAGAAGAAGAAUUCUGCUGAUAAACGCGUACCUGAGCCCCCCAAGCAUUCGAAGGCUGCGCGAAGGUUUUAGAAUGAGAAUAUUAGCGAUUCGUUACAACGUCUCGUAAAGUUCUUGCUGCCGCUGGAGGUACAUUGCAGCAAUAGAUGGUGCCUUUAGUAACCAGAACCUGAUAGCAAUUAGUGAGGCAACAAUAAUUGAUGGCGUCCAUUGCAUAUCAUGGAAGGAACCAUGAAGCUCGGGAACUUGUAAAAGCUGCUGGUCUAGAGAUUCCAGCUUUGCACCGACUACAAAAUUCCCAUCCGUUGUCACCAAAAUGAAGCAACAAAAAACAAACGGACAGCAGAGCCUCUCUUGUUAUACAGUACCACCAGAAUCGUCCUUCAGUCUGACAAAAUGGAUAUUAUUCAACUGGAUAUUGAUACCAUCCAUUAACUCAAACUCCAACAGAGAAGGGUGCCUUUGGAAACAUGAACACAGGUGCUGCAUGACUGUCGUCAGUUCGUGCCGUAAGGUGUUGGGUUAAGUCCCGCAACAAGCGCAGUGUUUAUUUGCCAAUUAAAAUCUUGAACAGACUGCCGGUGAUAAGCUGAAGAAGAUGGGAUGAAGUCAAGAAUGGUUUUAGUCGAACAAAAGGGUAUUGAAUUAUGUAAGUCAUUAAAUCUCUCCAAUAAACUUAUUAACUUAUUGAGGAAUAAUUCAUCUGAAGUUGGUUAUGAGCAUAAAUAUUUCAAUAAAUGUCAAACAAUAAUUU